UCCACACCGUAAACGAUGAAUGCCAGUCGUCGGGGAGCUUGCUCUUCGGUGACACACCUAACGGAUUAAGCAUUCCGCCUGGGGGAGUACGGUCGCAAGAUUAAAAACUCAAAAGGAAUUUGGACGGGGGGCCCCGCACAAGCGGUGGAGCAUGUGGUUUAAUUCGACGCAGCGCGCAGAACCUUACCAACCCUUGACAUCCUUGGACCGCUAGAGAGAUCUAGUUUUCUCGU
rnacentral:rRNA from 1 species